UGGGGAAUCUUCCGCAAUGGGCGAAAGCCUGACGGAGCAACGCCGCGUGGGGGACGAAGGCCUUCGGGUCGUAAACCCCUGUCAUGGGGAAAGAAGGGCCUCGGGGUGAACAGCCUCGGGGCUUGACGGUACCUCAAGAGGAAGCCACGGCCAACUCCGUGCCAGCAGCCGCGGUAAUACGGAGGUGGCAAGCGUUGUUCGGAAUUACUGGGCGUAAAGGGCGCGUAGGCGGGGCGAUAAGUCGGGUGUGAAAUCCCUCGGCUCAACCGAGGAACGGCGCCCGAAACUGUCGUUCUUGAGUCCCGGAGAGGAAGGUGGAAUUCCCGGUGUAGCGGUGAAAUGUGUAGAGAUCGGGAGGAACACCGGUGGCGAAGGCGGCCUUCUGGACGGUGACUGACGCUGAGGCGCGAAAGCGUGGGGAGCAAACGGGAUUAGAUACCCCGGUAGUCCACGCUGUAAACGAUGGGUGCUAGGUGUGGGGGGUAUCGACCCCCCCCGUGGCGAACCUAACGCAUUAAGCACCCCGCCUGGCGAGCACGGCCGCAAGGUUGA
rnacentral:rRNA from 1 species